AAGAAAAUCCGUUGGCUUUAUUGACCGUGAGGGUUCAAGUCCCUCUACCCC
rnacentral:tRNA from 2 species